CAAAUUUAAUGCAUUGGAUUGGUGGAAGUCAAACAAUCUAAAGUUUAGAGUGUUAUCAAAGAUGGCAUGUGAAAUCUUAUCAAUUCCAAUUACUACGGUUGCUUCAGAGUCAACAUUUAGUGCUGGUGGUAGAGUUAUUGACACAUAUCGGGCAUCUCUAGGGACAAAUACUGUUCAGAUGCUACUUUGUGGAAGUGAUUGGUUGCGUAACUUAUACAAUCUGAAAAGGAAAGUAAAAUGUACUGAAGAUGUGAAGACUAUAUCACUAGAAUGACUUGGAGUUGAAGAAGCUUUUUUGGAUGUUCCAUGCAAAAUCAGUUACAUUUUAAUGUUUUUGGCUUGUAACUUGUAAGGAUAACAAACAGUUUGUUUGUAUUUUUUUUUAUCUUGUUUUUGUUA